rnacentral:rRNA from 1 species
AUUGAACGCUGGCGGCAGGCCUAACACAUGCAAGUCGAACGAGUGGCGGACGGGUGAGUAACGCGUGGUAACCUGCCUCAUAGCGGGGGAUAACUAUUGGAAACGAUAGCUAAUACCGCAUACUGUGAGAUGUACCUGCGUUGUAUUAGCUAGUUGGUGAGGUAAAGGCUCACAAAGGCGACGAUACAUAGCCGACCUGAGAGGAUGACCAGCAACACUGGAACUGAGAAACGGUCCAGACUCCUACGGGAGGCAGCAGUGGGGAAUAUUGCACAAUGGGCGCAAGCCGGAUGCAGCCAUGCCGCGUGUAUGAGGAGGGCCUUCGGGUUGUAAAGUACGUUCAACGGGGAGGCGUUACCCGAAGAAGAAGCACCGGCUAACUCCGUGCCAGCAGCCGCGGUAAUUC